AUUGAACGCUGGCGGCAUGCCUUACACAUGCAAGUCGAACGGCAGCACGGGUGCUUGCACCUGGUGGCGAGUGGCGAACGGGUGAGUAAUACAUCGGAACAUGUCCUGUAGUGGGGGAUAGCCCGGCGAAAGCCGUAUUAAUACCGCAUACGAUCCACGGAUGAAAGCGGGGGACCUUCGGGCCUCGCGCUAUAGGGUUGGCCGAUGGCUGAUUAGCUAGUUGGUGGGGUAAAGGCCUACCAAGGCGACGAUCAGUAGCUGGUCUGAGAGGACGACCAGCCACACUGGGACUGAGACACGGCCCAGACUCCUACGGGAGGCAGCAGUGGGGAAUUUUGGACAAUGGGCGAAAGCCUGAUCCAGCAAUGCCGCGUGUGUGAAGAAGGCCUUCGGGUUGUAAAGCACUUUUGUCCGGAAAGAAAUCCUUGACUCUAAUACAGUCGGGGGAUGACGGUACCGGAAGAAUAAGCACCGGCUAACUACGUG
rnacentral:rRNA from 1 species